GGUGUGGCUCAGGUGGUAGCGCGCUCGCCUGGCAUGCGGGGGCGUUGGGUUCGAUCCUCAACACAACA
rnacentral:tRNA from 1 species